rnacentral:rRNA from 1 species
GACGAACGCUGGCGGCGUGCUUAACACAUGCAAGUCGAGCGGUAAGGCCCUUUCGGGGGUACGACGAGCGGCGAACGGGUGAGUAACACGUGGGUGACCUGCCCUCAGCUCUGGGAUAAGCCUGGGAAACUGGGUCUAAUACCGGAUAUGACUCCAUGACGCAUGUUGGUGGGGUGGAAAGCCUUGUGCGGCUGAGGAUGGGCCCGCGGCCUAUCAGCUUGUUGGUGGGGUGANGGCCUACCAAGGCGACGACGGGUAGCCGGCCUGAGAGGGCGACCGGCCACACUGGGACUGAGACACGGCCCAGACUCCUACGGGAGGCAGCAGUGGGGAAUCUUGCGCAAUGGGCGAAA